rnacentral:rRNA from 1 species
CCCUUAGAUGCUCUGGGCCGCACGCGCGCUACACUGGUCGAUGCAACGAGUUUCUUUCCUUGGCCGACAGGCCUGGGCAAUCUUUGAACAUCGAUCGUGAUCGGGAUAGAUUCUUGUAAUUUUUGAUCUUAAACGAGGAAUUCCUAGUAAACGCAAGUCAUCAGCUUGCAUUGAUUACGUCCCUGCCCUUUGUACACACCGCCCGUCGCACCUACCGAUUGAAUGGUCCGGUGAAAUCUCCGGACUGGCGUGAGUCGGAGCAAUCUGACAAACACCGGAAAGUUGAUUAAACCUUACCGUUUAGAGGAAGGUGAAGUCGUAACA